AUAAUACUCCAUAGAUUAGAGACACUGGAAUGUUCUUUUAGUCGAAAGUUCUGGCGCCUUAGGAUGGAUCUGCGGUCGAUUAGGUUGUUGUUGGGGUAACGGCCCAAUAAGCCUGUAAUCGAUACGGGUUGUGGGAGCAAGAGCCCGGAGAUGGAAUCUGAGACACGAUUCCAGGCCCUACGGGGCGCAGCAGGCGCGAAAACUUUACAAUGCAGGAAACUGUGAUAAGGGAACUCCGAGUGCCCGUAUACGCGGGCUGUCCAGGUGUUUAAAAAUCAUCUGAAGAAAGGGCCGGGCAAGACCGGUGCCAGCCGCCGCGGUAAUACCGGCGGCUCGAGUGGUGGCCACUAUUAUUGGGCUUAAAGCGUCCGUAGCUGGACCGAUAAGUCUCUUGGGAAAUCCGCCGGCUCAACCGGCGGGCGUCUAAGGGAUACUGUUAGUCUAGGGACCGGGAGAGGUGAGAGGUACUCCGGGGGUAGGAGUGAAAUCCUGUAAUCCCCGGGGGACCACCGAUGGCGAAGGCAUCUCACCAGAACGGCUCCGACAGUGAGGGACGAAAGCUGGGGGAGCGAACCGGAUUAGAUACCCGGGUAGUCCCAGCCGUAACUAUGCGCGUUAGGUGU
rnacentral:rRNA from 1 species